rnacentral:lncRNA from 1 species
GCUUUUAAGGAUACCAGAAAAACACCCAAGGAGCCGGAGAUGGCAAUUCACCAAAAUUCACCAAAUUCACCAAAAUUCACCAAAUUCGCCAAAUUCACCAAAUUCACCAAAAUUCACCAAAUCUGAAUCACUCUAACGAGCUACAGCAUAAAAUCACUUGAAAAGGUGUGUGCUGACUUGAUCAGAGGCACAAAGGAAAAGAAUCUCAAAGUGAAAGGACCGGUUUGAAUCCUACCAACACUUUGAGAAUCACUACAAGAAAAACUCCACAGAUGAGCAUCCAUAAGCAACUCAUUGACUUGCACAGUCCUUCUGAGAUUGUUAAGCAGAUUACUUCCAUCAGUAUUGAGCCAGGAGUUGAAGUGGAAGUCACCAUUGCAGAUGCUUAA